CCUACGGGCGGCUGCAGUGAGGAAUAUUGGUCAAUGGGCGCGAGCCUGAACCAGCCAAGUAGCGUGAAGGAUGACUGCCCUACGGGUUGUAAACUUCUUUUAUAAAGGCAUAAAGUGAGGCACGUGUGCCUUUUUGCAUGUACUUUAUGAAUAAGGAUCGGCUAACUCCGUGCCAGCAGCCGCGGUAAUACGGAGGAUCCGAGCGUUAUCCGGAUUUAUUGGGUUUAAAGGGAGCGUAGAUGGGUUUUUUAGUCGGUUGUGAAAGUUUGCGGCCUAACCGUAAAAUUGCAAUUGAUACUGGAAGCCUUGAGUACAGAUGAGGUAGGCGGAAUUCGUGGUGUAGCGGUGAAAUGCUUAGAUAGCACGUAGAACUCCGAUUGCGAAGGCAGCUUACUAAACUGCCACUGACAUUGAUGCUCGAGAGUGUGGGUAUCAAACAGGAUUAGAUACCCCUGUAGUC
rnacentral:rRNA from 1 species